AGUCCUGGUCAAUGAACUGGCCUGGACAGUCCCUUGGCAUGGUUCAGUAGGAUAGCACAGACCAAGUCCCAUUUCCAGAGGCAGUUUAUAUCCAUCCUCACUACUGUGGGCAUAGCAGAGCCUCACAACAUGGCUGUAAGCUCCUCUGCAGCUUAGGGCUGUAGGUCAAAGAAGGGCCUUGGGCUGCUGCUUUACUUAUAGCUCCUCUCGGCUCCUCUAAAACCAAAGCAGACAGAAGCACCUUCAGAGGGCAAUUUCUCCCCAUUACUUGGGCAUGUGUUUGAAGUUAAGAACAGGAGUGGACAGUCAGAGGACAAGUUCACCAGGACAGAAAGCAGCACAAGAGACAACAGGAUGUGUCAGUGAAACUGAUCUGUGCCAUUCCACUGCUGGACCAGGCUUCCUUGAGGUACUGCCAGGGAAGUUGUGACCCUUGGAAAGAAGCUCAGUUAGAAGUGGUGGAAUGGAGUUUCAUCUGUCCUGCAUUUCCACACUAGAUGCACCAUGAAGUACAAGCAGCCAGUGGACACCUCUGGACUGCUUUAGGAAAGGAAGUGCAUGGGGAUUUCGUAAUGAUCACACAGGAUGUUUUAUACAUUCUCUACACUUAGAAGUGGCACAGACCAUCUCCAUGGAAAGAAAUCAAACCCAAAACCACCUGCUCAACCAGAAAACCUCACCUAAACAAAACACGCCACAAGUGAGACAAAUCCUAAAUAACAGGACUGAAUAAACCUCAGAAUAUUUUCAAAAGCAACCACAAUUUCCCAAAGCCAUAUGAACACCACAAGCAGCUCAUAGCAGAGACUAACAACCUGCCUCGAGCAAUAGAGAGUGGAAAACAUAAAAAGAGCAAUGAAGCCUUACAGCAUCAUCAAAACAGGAAUUCUGGAGGUUUAGUGAAUAAAAAGGCACUGGUGACUGA